UACGGGGGGGAGCAAGCGUUGUUCGGAUUUACUGGGCGUAAAGGGCUUGUAGGUGGCCAACUAAGUCAGACGUGAAAUCCCUCGGCUUAACCGGGGAACUGCGUCUGAUACUGGAUGGCUAGAGAUUGGGAGAGGGAUGCGGAAUCCCAGGUGUAGCGGUGAAAUGCGUAGAUAUCUGGAGGAACACCGGUGGCGAAGGCGGCAUCCUGGACCAACACUGACACUGAAAAGCGAAAGCCAGGGGAGCAAACGGG
rnacentral:rRNA from 1 species